CUCGGAUCAGGUAGGGAUACCCGCUGAACUUAAGCAUAU
rnacentral:rRNA from 2 species